rnacentral:rRNA from 1 species
GUGGGGAAUCUUGCGCAAUGGGCGAAAGCCUGACGCAGCCAUGCCGCGUGAAUGAUGAAGGUCUUAGGAUUGUAAAAUUCUUUCACCGGGGACGAUAAUGACGGUACCCGGAGAAGAAGCUCCGGCUAACUUCGUGCCAGCAGCCGCGGUAAUACGAAGGGGGCUAGCGUUGCUCGGAAUUACUGGGCGUAAAGGGCGCGUAGGCGGACAGCUUAGUCAGAGGUGAAAGCCCAGGGCUCAGCCUUGGAAUUGCAUUUGAUACUGGCGUUCUUGAGUUUGGGAGAGGUGAGUGGAACUACGAGUGUAGAGGUGAAAUUCGUAGAUAUUCGGAAGAGCACCAGUGGCGAAGGCGACUCACUGGCCCAAUACUGACGCUGAGGCGCGAAAGCGUGGGGAGCAAACAGGAUUAGAAACCCGGUAGUCC